UCUUGUUAGAGUAUCAGUGUCCCU
rnacentral:miRNA from 1 species